rnacentral:rRNA from 1 species
AGUGAACGCUGGCGGCAGGCCUAACACAUGCAAGUCGAACGAACCGCAAGGUUAGUGGCGGACGGGUGAGUAACACGUGGGAAUCUACCUUUAGAUGGGGGCUAACUCAGGGAAACUUGAGCUAAUACCGCAUAAUGUCGAGAGACCAAAGAUUUAUCGUCUAAAGAUGAGCCCGCGUUAGAUUAGUUUGUUGGUGGGGUAAUGGCCUACCAAGACUACGAUCUAUAGCUGGUUUGAGAAGAUGACCAGCCACAUUGGGACUGAGACACGGCCCAAGCCCCUACGGGAGGCAGCAGUGGGUAAUAUUGGGCAAUGGGCGAAAGCCUGACCCAGCCAUGUCGCGUGAGUGAUGAAGGCCUUAGGGUUGUAAAGCUCUUUCAGGGGGGAAGAUAAUGACGGUACCCCCAGAAGAAGCUCCGGCUAACUUCGUGCCAGCCGCCGCCGUAA